rnacentral:rRNA from 1 species
UACGGGGGGGGGCAAGCGUUUGUUCGGAAUUACUGGGCGUAAAGGGCUCGUAGGCGGCCAACUAAGUCAGACGUGAAAUCCCUCGGCUUAACUGGGGAACUGCGUCCGAUACUGGAUGGCUUGGAUUUGGGAGAGGGAUGCGGAAUUCCAGGUGUAGCGGUGAAAUGCGUAGAUAUCUGGAGGAACACCGGUGGCGAAGGCGGCAUCCUGGACCAAUAUUGACGCUGAGGAGCGAAAAGCUAGGGGAGCAAACGGGG